rnacentral:tRNA from 1 species
UGGGGUAUCGUUCAACGGUAGGACAACGGAUUUUGAUUCCGUCAAUCUUGGUUCGAUUCCAAGUACCCCUGCCAUAA